GCAAGUCGAACGAGAAAGUUUCUUCGGAAAUGAGUAAAGUGGCGCACGGGUGAGUAACGCGUAGAUAACCUGUCCAGGUGCUCGGGAUAGCCCUUCGAAAGGGGGAUUAAUACCGGAUACGUUGAUUGUUUUAAGGACGAUCAAGAAAGGUGGCCUCUAUUUAUAAGCUAUCGCACAUGGAGGGGUCUGCGUACCAUUAGCUAGUUGGUGGGGUAAUGGCCUACCAAGGCGACGAUGGUUAGCGGGUCUGAGAGGAUGAUC
rnacentral:rRNA from 1 species